rnacentral:rRNA from 1 species
AAGCAGCGGAGCAUGCGGCUUAAUUCGACGCAACGCGAAGAACCUUACCAAGGCUUGACAUAUACAGGAAUAUGGCAGAGAUGUCAUAGCCGCAAGGUCUGUAUACAGGUGGUGCAUGGUUGUCGUCAGCUCGUGUCGUGAGAUGUUGGGUUAAGUCCCGCAACGAGCGCAACCCUCGUUCUGUGUUGCCAGCAUUUAGUUGGGGACUCACAGGAGACUGCCGGGGUUAACUCGGAGGAAGGUGGGGAUGACGUCAAAUCAUCAUGCCCCUUAUGUCUUGGGCUGCACGCAUGCUACAAUGGCUGGUACAAACGGCUGCAAUACCGCAAGGUGGAGCGAAUCCGAGAAAGCCAGUCUCAGUUCGGAUUGGGGUCUGCAACUCGACCCCAUGAAGUCGGAGUUGCUAGUAAUCGUAGAUCAGCAACGCUACGGUGAAUACGUUCCCGGGGCUGUACACACCGCCCGUCACAUCACGAAGUCGGUAACACCCAAAGUCAGUG